GACGAAGGGGGCUAGCGUUGCUCGGAAUUACUGGGCGUAAAGGGCGCGUAGGCGGAUAUUUAAGUCGGGGGUGAAAGCCCGGGGCUCAACCUCGGAAUUGCCUUCGAUACUGGAUAUCUUGAGUUCGGGAGAGGUGAGUGGAAUGCCGAGUGUAGAGGUGAAAUUCGUAGAUAUUCGGCGGAACACCAGUGGCGAAGGCGGCGACCUGGGCCAAUAUUGACGCUGAGGUGCGAAAGCGUGGGGAGCAAACAGG
rnacentral:rRNA from 1 species